GACGAACGCUGGCGGCGUGCCUAACACAUGCAAGUCGAGCGGAGACAGUGAGUAGCUUGCUAUGAGCUGUUUUAGCGGCGGACGGGUGAGUAACGCGUGAGCAACCUUUCCCAGACAGGGGAAUAACACACCGAAAGGUGUACUAAUACCGCAUAAGACCACGGGAUCACAUGGUUCUGGGGUAAAAGAUUUAUCGGUUUGGGGUGGGCUCGCGUCCGAUUAGGUAGUUGGUGAGGUAACGGCCCACCAAGCCGACGAUCGGUAGCCGACCUGAGAGGGUGAUCGGCCACAUUGGGACUGAGACACGGCCCAGACUCCUACGGGAGGCAGCAGUGGGGAAUAUUGCACAAUGGGGGAAACCCUGAUGCAGCGACGCCGCGUGGAGGAAGAAGGUCUUCGGAUUGUAAACUCCUGUUGUUGGGGAAGAUAAUGACGGUACCUGACUAAGAAGCACCGGCUAAAUACGUG
rnacentral:rRNA from 1 species